GUAGGGAAUCUUCCACAAUGGACGAAAGUCUGAUGGAGCAACGCCGCGUGAGUGAAGAAGGUCUUCGGAUCGUAAAACUCUGUUGUUAGAGAAGAACGUGCAUGAUAGUAACUGAUCAUGUAAUGACGGUAUCUAACCAGAAAGCCACGGCUAACUACGUGACAGCAGCCGCGGUAAUACGUAGGUGGCAAGCGUUGUCCGGAUUUAUUGGGCGUAAAGGGAACGCAGGCGGUUUUUUAAGUCUGAUGUGAAAGCCUUCGGCUUAACCGAAGAAUAGCAUUGGAAACUUGAAGACUUGAGUGCAGAAGAGGAGAGUGGAAUUCCAUGUGUAGCGGUGAAAUGCGUAGAUAUAUGGAGGAACACCAGUGGCGAAAGCGGCUCUCUGGUCUGUAACUGACGCUGAGGUUCGAAAGCGUGGGUAGCAAACAGGAUUAGAUACCCUUGUAGUCC
rnacentral:rRNA from 1 species